ensembl:lncRNA
CUCACCUCACCAGAACCUAGCGUCAGCAGAACCUAGCGUCAGCAGAACCUCACCUCACCUCAGCAGAACCUCCUUAACUCGCCAGAAACUCAUCUCACCAGAACCUCAUCUCCUCAGAACCUACCUCUUCAUAACAGACUUGCCUCACCUCACUAAAGCCUCACCAUACCAGAACAUCUCCUCACCUCUACAGAACCUCACUACAACAGAACCUCACUUUACCAGAACCUACUCUCACCGGAACCUCCACCCUGACCAAUUGUGGUUGCCCAGGUGAUGACGUGGGGAUUCUACUCCACCGGUGUUACUACGGAGAUGAUGAAGACCCGAAACUAUGACGAUGAUAACCAUGAUGCAGGCAGUAUUGCUGACCUCAGACACGAAUAGAGGCUCACGCUCACCUGUCCGUGUGAGCGUGAGAUUACUCCUGUGCGCUUUGUCACAAAGUAACGGGGAAG